rnacentral:lncRNA from 1 species
CCCGCGGGCGCAGGCGGGCGCGGCUGAGGGGAGGGGCCUGCGGGGGCCGAGUUAACAGCACCCGAGGCCUUCGCGGACGUCAGCCAUCUCCAAAGGAGGGGGAAGCCGGCGGGCGGCUUGGUGUGUGUGAAGCGCGACAUGGCGGCGAGGCCGACGAGCCCGGCUGGCCCCGUGCGUACGGGAAAGGGGCAGGCUAGAGCUUCCUUGACGACCAUUAGGUACCUUCGGAGACUACAUUUCCCAGAUGGCCCCGCGCGGCGCGGGGCUGAUGGGGAAGCGCCGAGGGCCCAGUGCGCAGACGCGAGAGCCCCCUCUGGUUAUAUAAGGGAGGGCCGCCACGCUUAUAGUCCUUUUGUGUUUGCGGCACCUUACUUGGUAGUCUUCCGCUGGUGCUUCCUAGUCCGACGGCGUCCUACCCUGGGAACCCGGGUUGACUGCUGUGUGUGUUCGCAGGUUAGCGUGGUCAGAGGGUACGGAAUGGAUCUUGGAGGAGGGGGUCGCUGCUGGGCCUCGACGAGAACGCCGUGUAGACAUCUACAGCCUUCAGUCUCCUGAUCUCUGGGGUUUGCUGUUGGCAGAAAGCACACUUGGAAUGGGCCAGGAUGAAUCUGGGAGUGGGAAAGGAUUGGUAAGUGACGUCCACAUGUCUCCUAAGUGCCCAUGCCCACGUGGCUGAGUAGACAGGAGCUGGAGAACGGAGGAGGUAGUAACUGCUUUUCUCUGAAAAGAUGGGCAUACCCACCUUGUGUUCUACUUUCUAAUUCCAAUUUGGCCACUGCAGGUGAUGACAUAACUUUUUUCCCCAUCAGAUCGACCCUGUUGAUCUCACUGAACUAUUAGCCAGUUUUGUCUGAUGCAUUGGCCCCAGUGAUAAUUUCUGUCCUCAUUUUCUGCUUGCCACUAGCAGACUGCUUUCUCUCUCAGGUUUUUUGGUGGGAUUGGGUUUUACCCCCCAGCGUUCAAGUCAUUCAUCUUGGCUUCAUCUGUUAACUUCCUGCAGGUCAGGAGCCAUGUGUGCCACAGGGCAGGAAGAAGGUUGGCUGCAGCCUGAUCUUCCUCUCGACUUGAUUCAGUAUGUCCUGUAACAGGUGAGGUAAAUGGUGUUACCCAAGUGUCAGUCCCCUAAUAAAAUGAUUAUUAAAUGUGCCCA